GUUUGAUCCUGGCUCAGGAUNAACGCUAGCGGCAGGCUUAACACAUGCAAGUCGAGGGGUAUUGGUUUUCGGACCAAGAGACCGGCGCACGGGUGCGUAACGCGUAUGCAAUCUACCUUUUGCAGAGGGAUAGCCCAGAGAAAUUUGGAUUAAUACCUCAUAGUAUAGUACUUUGGCAUCAAGGAACUAUUAAAGUCACAACGGCAAAAGAUGAGCAUGCGUCCCAUUAGCUAGUUGGUAAGGUAACGGCUUACCAAGGCUACGAUGGGUAGGGGUCCUGAGAGGGAGAUCCCCCACACUGGUACUGAGACACGGACCAGACUCCUACGGGAGGCAGCAGUGAGGAAUAUUGGACAAUGGGCGCAAGCCUGAUCCAGCCAUGCCGCGUGCAGGAUGACGGUCCUAUGGAUUGUAAACUGCUUUUAUACAGGAAGAAACACUCCGACGUGUCGGAGCUUGACGGUACUGUAAGAAUAAGGAUCGGCUAACUCCGUG
rnacentral:rRNA from 1 species